GUUUGAGAAACAAUAAAGCACUUCACAGCACUGGCUCUGGGGAAGCUGCUGCGCUGUGGAGGGGCCGUGUGCUGAGGGCUGGAGCUGUGGCUGAUGGCCUGGGAGCAGGUUUGGAUCCUCAGAUGGCUGCAAUCCCUGCUGGCACUGUGACUGCUGGGUCUCCUGAGAGACUCUGACCCGAAAACACUCAGCGAAGACCCUCUCAGAUUCCCGACCCACAGAAACUGUGAGAUAGUAAGUGUUUGCUGUUUGAGUUCACUGAGUUUGGGAUAAUUUGUUCUACAGCAAGGAAUAACUAAUGUAUGUGGCUCUGCGUUUUGCCUGUAUAGAAGGCAAAGGCUUGGUCGUCCGGCAGACAAGAGCUCAAGCCGAGAAAAACACUCCAGGGCCCCAUUUUCCAGCCUGGUGCUGCAACCACAAAAUUAGGGGUGGGGAGGACGGGAACACUUAGGUUGCCACGCUGUUCCAGUCUCCAGCCUAGCUGUUUUCAAAGCUCAGGUGCCUCUAAUACUCAAGACAAUGCCAUCUGACUGAUGAGGAAGCUGAAACUUCGAUGAUUAGGCCCUGGUAAUGAAUGUCUGCGGUGGUCCCCAUGGUCCUGGUUUCCCUUUGUCUUAUCCCAGAUGCUCAAAAUGCCAGAUUCUAACUUGGCAAGAAGACUCAUCCUCUUUCUUGUAACAUAUUAUAAUCUCUGUCUUCUAUAAAAUACUCAGGCUUCUAGAGAGGAUGGAGAAGAAGCUGGAGUAACAGCAAGUUGGCUCCAGAAAUUGGUUUACAAAGCAGAAAUCCAGAUGUUUUCUCUUUUUUUCUCUCUAAACAUCAAAUCAAGCAGCAGCUUGCAACACUCUGUGUGGCCCAGCUGAAGAAAUUCUAAACAUUGCUUCAAGGAUCUAACUCACAACUCAUCUUAAACCAUCACAAGAAAACUCCCAUUAGAGCGGGAGAGGGGAAGUGUGUGUUAAUGAGCUGAAGUGUGAGAAUGGGAUGAAUAAGCAGAAGCUUGAAUGCAGCACGGAGGCGAAUGAAAUAAUUACCCAGCUUACCAU
rnacentral:lncRNA from 1 species